AUUGAACGCUGGCGGCAGGCCUAACACAUGCAAGUCGAGCGGAUGAAGGUAGCUUGCUACCUGAUUCAGCGGCGGACGGGUGAGUAAUGCCUAGGAAUCUGCCUGGUAGUGGGGACAACGUUUCGAAAGGAACGCUAAUACCGCAUACGUCCUACGGGAGGAAGUGGGGGAGCUUCGGACCUCACGCUAUCAGAUGAGCCUAGGUACGAUUAGCUAGUUGGGGAGGUAAAGGCUCACCAAGGCGACGAUCGUUAAAUGGUCUGGGAGGAUGAUCAGUCACACUGGAACUGAGACACGGUCCAGAAUCCUACGGGAGGCAGCAGUGGGGAAUAUUGGACAAUGGGCGAAAGCCUGAUCCAGCCAUGCCGCGUGUGUGAAGAAGGUCUUCGGAUUGUAAAGCACUUUAAGUUGGGAGGAAGGGCAGUAAGUUAAUACCUUGCUGUUUUGACGUUACCGACAGAAUAAGCACCGGCUAACUUCGUGCCAGCCGCCGCGGUAAGAC
rnacentral:rRNA from 1 species